GGACCUUUGGCGUAAUGGAUAAAGCGUCAGCCUCCUAAGUUGAAGACCUCAGGUUCGAGUCCUGCCGGGGUUG
rnacentral:tRNA from 1 species